AAGCUAGGAAGGGCAGACGGUGGAUGCCUUGGCGCUGAGAGGCGAAGAAGGACGCGGUCAGCUGCGAAAAGCUUCGGGGAGCCGCUAAACAGGCUUUGAUCCGGAGGUGUCCGAAUGGGGAAACCCGGUCCCGGUAAUACGGGAUCACCCGGCACUCGAUUGUGGGCUCAAAAAGGGAGGGAUUUGAGCCCAGAGUCGAGUGUCGGGGGCGAACCCGGGGAACUGAAACAUCUCAGUACCCGGAGGAGAAGAAAUCAAGCAGAGAUUCCGCAAGUAGCGGCGAGCGAACGCGGAGGAGCCCAAACCCGGGUCAAAUUGAUCCGGGGGUUGUAGGGCCCCGAUAUGGGAUGUGAGAGGGUAGCGGAAGGAUCUGGAAAGGUCUUCCACAGAGGGUGAGAGGCCCGUACGCGAAACUCCGACACACCCUAGGGGAACCCUGAGUACCGCGGGGCACGAGGAAUCCCGCGGGAAGCCGGGAGGACCAUCUUCCAAGGCUAAAUACUCCUCAGCGACCGAUAGUGAACGAGUACCGUGAGGGAAAGGUGAAAAGCACCCCGGGAGGGGAGUGAAAGAGUACCUGAAACCGUUUGCCUACAAGCAGUGGGAGGACGAUGAAUUCGCUUCGGCGGGUUCAGUCUGACCGCGUGCCUUUUGCAUAAUGAGUCAGCGAGUUACUUUCUGCAGCGAGGUUAAGCCGAGCGAGGUGGAGCCGGAGCGAAAGCGAGUCCGAACAGGGCGGUUGAGUUGCAGGGAGUAGACCCGAAACCAGGUGAUCUAUCCAUGGCCAGGGUGAAGUCCCGGUAACGCGGGAUGGAGGCCCGAACCGAAGAAGGUUGAAAACUUCUCGGAUGAGCUGUGGAUAGGAGUGAAAGGCUAAUCAAACCUGGAAAUAGCUGGUUCUCCCCGAAAUGCAUUGAGGUGCAGCCUCGAAGUGAGAAUAACGGAGGUAGAGCGCUGGAUGGGCUAGGGGUCUUACCGGAUUACCAAACCCAACCAAACUGCGAAUGCCGUUAUGUCGUCUUCGGGAGUGAGACUGCGGGAGAUAAGUUCCGUGGUCGAGAGGGAAAGAGCCCAGACCGUCAGCUAAGGUCCCGAAAUAGAUGCUAAGUGGGAAAGGAUGUGGGGACGCACAGACAACCAGGAGGUUGGCUUAGAAGCAGCCAUCCUUUAAAGAAAGCGUAACAGCUCACUGGUCUAGUGUGCCUGCGCCGAAAAUGUAACGGGUCUUAAGCAUCUUACCGAAGCUGCGGCUUGAUUCCUUCGGGGAUCAGGGGUAGGGGAGCAUUGCGGCAUCCGUUGAAGGCGUACCGGGAGGAGCGCUGGAGGUCCCGCAAGAGAUUAUGCUGACAUGAGUAACGAUAAAGCGGGUGAGAAUCCCGCUCGCCGUAAGCCUAAGGUUUCCUGGGUAAAGGUCGUCUGCCCAGGGUUAGUCGGUCCCUAAGCCGAGGCCGAAAGGCGUAGGUGAUGGGAAACAGGUUAAUAUUCCUGUACCACCGAGCCGGCGUUUGAGUGAUGGGGGGACGCAGAAGGGUAGGCCAUCCGGGUGACGGAAGUCCCGGUAUAAGCCCGUAGGCGGAGGUUCCAGGCAAAUCCGGAGCCUUUUUAACGCCGAGAGGUGAUGUGGAGGGAGCAAUCCCGCAAACUGGUUGAUCCCAAGCUGCCAAGAAAAGCCUCUAGCGAGUUGGCCAGGUGACCGUACCGCAAACCGACACAGGUAGGCGAGGAGAGAAUCCUCAGGCGCGUGAGAGAACCCUGUUUAAGGAACUCGGCAAAAUGACACCGUAACUUCGGGAGAAGGUGUGCCCUCAUCAGGUGAAAAGACUUGCUUUUGGAGCCGAAGGGGGUUGCAGAGAAGAGGCGGUAGCGACUGUUUACUAAAAACACAGGACUCUGCUAAAUCGCAAGAUGACGUAUAGGGUCUGACGCCUGCCCGGUGCUGGAAGGUUAAGGGGAGAUGUUAUCGCAAGAGAAGCGUUGAACCGAAGCCCCAGUAAACGGCGGCCGUAACUAUAACGGUCCUAAGGUAGCGAAAUUCCUUGUCGGGUAAGUUCCGACCUGCACGAAUGGCGUAACGACUUCCGCGCUGUCUCAAACAGGGACUCAGUGAAAUUGCAGUCUCGGUGCAGAUACCGAGUACCCGCGGCUAGACGGAAAGACCCCGUGCACCUUUACUACAGCUUGGCAUUGGAUUUUGGGCGUGUAUGUGUAGGAUAGGUGGGAGGCGGUGAAGUGGGGGCGCCAGCUCUCAUGGAGCCAACCUUGAAAUACCACCCUUAUGCGUUUAGAGUUCUAACCCGGGUCCGUAAACCGGAUCGGGGACAGUGCCUGGUGGGUAGUUUGACUGGGGCGGUCGCCUCCAAAAGAGUAACGGAGGCGCGCGAAGGUUCCCUCAGGCUGAUUGGAAACCAGCCGUAGAGUGUAAAGGCAUAAGGGAGCCUGACUGUGAGAGAGACAUCUCGAUCAGGGACGAAAGUCGGUCUUAGUGAUCCGGCGGUUCCACAUGGAAGGGCCGUCGCUCAACGGAUAAAAGGUACGCCGGGGAUAACAGGCUGAUCUCCCCCAAGAGUUCACAUCGACGGGGAGGUUUGGCACCUCGAUGUCGGCUCAUCGCAUCCUGGGGCUGGAGCAGGUCCCAAGGGUUCGGCUGUUCGCCGAUUAAAGCGGUACGUGAGCUGGGUUUAAAACGUCGUGAGACAGUUUGGUCCCUAUCUACCGUGGGCGGAGGAAUUUUGAGGGGAUCUGUCCCUAGUACGAGAGGACCGGGAUGGACGAACCUCUGGUGUACCAGUUGUCCCGCCAGGGGCAGCGCUGGGUAGCUACGUUCGGAAGGGAUAACCGCUGAAAGCAUCUAAGCGGGAAACCCACCCCAAGAUGAGAAUUCCCCUCCGGAGCGAUCCGGACUGAAGGCUCCUCGUAGACUACGAGGUUGAUAGGUCGGGUGUGUAAGCGCAGCAAUGCGUUGAGCUAACCGAUACUAAUGGGCCGUGAGGCUUGACCAUACCUCCCUCU
rnacentral:rRNA from 1 species